rnacentral:rRNA from 1 species
AAUAGAUACCCCGGUAGUCCACGCCGUAAACGAUGAGUGCUAAGUGUUAGAGGGUUUCCGCCCUUUAGUGCUGCAGCUAACGCAUUAAGCACUCCGCCUGGGGAGUACGGUCGCAAGACUGAAACUCAAAGGAAUUGACGGGGGCCCGCACAAGCGGUGGAGCAUGUGGUUUAAUUCGAAGCAACGCGAAGAACCUUACCAGGUCUUGACAUCCUCUGACAACUCUAGAGAUAGAGCGUUCCCCUUCGGGGGACAGAGUGACAGGUGGUGCAUGGUUGUCGUCAGCUCGUGUCGUGAGGUGUUGGGUUAAGUCCCGCAACGAGCGCAACCCUUGAUCUUAGUUGCCAGCAUUCAGUUGGGCACUCUAAGGUGACUGCCGGUGACAAACCGGAGGAAGGUGGGGAUGACGUCAAAUCAUCAUGCCCCUUAUGACCUGGGCUACACACGUGCUACAAUGGAUGGUACAAAGGGCUGCAAGACCGCGAGGUCAAGCCAAUCCCAUAAAACCAUUCUCAGUUCGGA